rnacentral:lncRNA from 1 species
CUGGGACCCUCACCCACAUGCUCUCUGCCCACUGCACAGGAGCCUAUUCAAGCUCAGAUCCAGCACCUGGGCUCCCCCUGUGUGCUGUGAGUUAUCUGUGUGCCUUAAUUCCAGUCCCCUGCUCUCCCCAGUGUGAUGUAUGUAUGUCCUGCAUUGGUGGCAAAUCCCAGUUUAUUUCUUAGCCUUUGGCUGAAGAUCAGCAGAUGGUUGAUGGGUUCUGUUGCUAUUUAUAAAAAUGGCAGAUCUAAUCAGGGAGAUGAGUGAACUCUUGCUAAGAGGGGACUGAUUUCAAUGUACAGAUUAGGUGCCAAGAGGUUCCUGACUACGGUCCAUGAUUAUUGGCAGAGUGCAUGCCUGCUGCCUACAGAUGUACCCUUAGAAGGACAUAUAAUUCAGGAACUGGAGCAUGGCACCGAUGGAGACAGUGCUGGAUUCCCAAAGCUAAAAGGAUUGCUGCCAUUAUAUAAAAGCAUUGCAUAGCAACUUUCUUAAAUCAGGUGGGAUAUCGAUUGCUUUU